AUGCUGUGCGAGGCACCCGCAUCUGGUAGCGAUUCCAUUCUCAUAAAACCCCAUGAUGUCCAUUCUCACAGAAACCCCAUGAAGUCGCGCUAUUGUCUUCAUCUCCUUUUCACAGAAAGUGCAAAGGGGGUCCCCCCACCUUUCAAGGGCCUUCAGUUGGUAGGGCAAGUAAGACAGGUUCCAGCGAACCCUGUUGCAAAGCCCUGUGGGAAGAGAGCAGUAAGAAAGGCACAGACGAGGGGCGCUCUGCCGGGGACACCCUGCCUCGCCCCAGCUCUUGUGCACCAAGUGAAACAUGGGAAGCUGCCGAGGCUCCCCCCAAACGAGGCUUGACCUCCUUCAGCUCGGACUCCCCUCCCCAGCUCUCUGGGGAGACCAGGGGCUCAUCCUGAUGGGUCAGCCACGCUGGAGGGGCCCGGAAAUGUUUGCUCCCUGGAAGAAACGGGGGAGGGGGUGUUUCAUUUCUCUUGGUCUCCCGUUGGCGCCUGGGCCUUGAGGAGCAAAUUGAGGACGCACGCGGGAGCCAGAUCUGGGAGCAACAACUCGCAUAUCAUGGGACUGAGUCUCCAUCCCCCAAAUUUCCAACUGACUCGACCUGUGCCCUGGGAUGUGACAGGGGACAGGAGUGAGUGGUGAGGACUGCAUUUAGCGUGCAGAGCCCGCCCACCACCCGCGGUCGGCAGGGGAGGCGCUGGUCGGAAGGGCACCGUGAGAAAGGCUUCAGCGGACACCGCGUUUGCCAAGAGAGUGAACGCAGCGUGGAGCGUGUCAGUAACCGCCCGGGGGUCAGAGUGAAGGUGGCGCCGUCUUACUCUUGAGUUGGCGCUUCAAGAGGGACGAUGAAAACGGGGAUUCUAAGCCAGUUGCUCAACCCUUGCCAGAUUCAUCUUCCUCAUCUGCAAAGCGGGUACCUGCCCCAUAGGGCUGUGAGCCUUAAGCAGUCGGAUGGCUUUGUUAUCGUCGUUGGCAAGGAACUGAAAUGUUUAAAAAGUGAAGAAUUUAAAAAAAGGGAGAGAGAUUCAAAAGUAAAGGAAACUAGGGGACACAAGGGUGUGGGUGUCUCCUUCAAAGGUUUCCUGCGUGGGAAGGAGGUUAAACUUCAUCUUUAUAAUCCCGGAUGGCAGAGCUGCUGUUGAAGAAUGAAGGCCGUCAGGACAGGCAGAUUGCAGCUUGACCUAAGAAAACACUUUCUAACGUGUAAAAGCUCGCCAGCAGUGGGAUGAACUGUCUGGUGGUGAGUUCCCCGUGUGUCUAGGUAUUCAAGGCCAGCACAGGUGCUUACCUGGUGGGAUUGGACAAGAUACUGCACCGGGGCCUUUCCACUGCUGUGAUU
rnacentral:lncRNA from 1 species